rnacentral:lncRNA from 1 species
AAUAAAUAAGUAAAUAAAUAAGGAGUCUAGCUAGGUGUGGAUCCAAAUAUCCUGUGAUUUAAAAUCAAGAAAGAGUACAUACUAUUUUAUGGAAAGGUUCAUUUCUACUCAAGAACUAUAGUUUUGUUCCUUAGAUUCCCACUAAAGAUUUAUCGGACCACUCAACUCCAAACUAAUUUUUCUUAUGUUUGAGUGACUACAUUGUGAUGACGCGCACAAUCACACGAGGUCGGGACAGCGGCCGAGGCCUUCUGAAGAUUGANNNNNNNNNNGAGUCUAGCUAGGUGUGGAUCCAAAUAUCCCGUGAUUUAAAAUCAAGAAAAAGUACAUACUAUUUUAUGGAAAGGUUCAUUUCUACUCAAGAACUAUAGUUUUGUUCCUUAUAUUCCCACUAAAGAUUUAUCGGACCAAUCAACUCCAAACUAAUUUUUCUUCUGUUUGAGCGACUACAUUGUGAUGACGCACACAAUCACACGAGGUCGGGACAGCGGCCGAGGCCUUCUGAAGAUUGAGCGGAGCACUGAAGGAGAAGGGUGGAAGAGACAGAUGGUAACGUGCAUGGCGUGGCCCGUCCAAAACCGGGAAUGAGAUAACCCACUCCAAAAAAUGGUUUGCGCUAAAAGACUUAGCAAAAGAAGUGAGCCGAUAAGAUGGUUUAAGGCAAUUGCAAUGAACAUUGGAGGGAACCCUAUGAUGCUUCUGGGGUCCAUCUCGUGGCUUCGGAGC